rnacentral:rRNA from 1 species
UACAGAGGUCCCAAGCGUUGUUCGGAUUCACUGGGCGUAAAGGGUGCGUAGGUGGCCAGGCAAGUUUGGUGUGAAAGCUCGGAGCUUAACUCCGAAAUGUCAUUGAAUACUAUCUGGCUGGAGGGUCGGAGGGGAGACUGGAAUUCUCGGUGUAGCAGUGAAAUGCGUAGAUAUCGAGAGGAACACCAGUGGCGAAGGCGAGUCUCUGGACGACUCCUGACACUGAGGCACGAAAGCUAGGGGAGCAAACAGG